GCAUUCAUGCUGACUGAGCAGCUGGAGCAGCCAGCACCAUCGCAGAUGACAAAAGAAUUGGAAUGCAAGGUAAUUGUUCUCCUGAGUGACCUCAUAGAACAGAGUCCAGCACAUCACCUGGGACAGUACAGCGAGAGGCGGUCCCUGAUGGGUUCUGUUCUGUGGCUGCAUUCUGUCUGCUCCUCCUCUUAGGCUCCAUCAUCACCUUUUGAAUCCCUUGGAAUUACCAGGACCCUUCCAGCUGGCCUCCAGGGGAUCGUCUGAGCCCUGAUGGUCCUUCCAAAACAUUCCUUCGACUGAAGACAACCAAAAUGACGCAUACACAGAUGGUGAAUUCAUAUGAAAAUGGCUAUUGAAAUGGUGCUAUCAGGAAAAGAUUCCAUGCUUCUCAUCAUGAUGCGGAAAGAAUUCCUUUGGGAUUGACUCGUCCCCCAGACCUGUGUCCUGGCUCAAUCUCUCUAAGAAUAAGCAACUUCAGGUUUCCUGGGACGAUGAUCCUGUUGCAGUCACAGUGACUCCAGAAGCUUCAACCUGUCUAAAAUAUAAA